rnacentral:rRNA from 1 species
GACGAACGCUGGCGGCGUGCUUAACACAUGCAAGUCGAACGGAAAGGCCCUGCUUGUAGGGUACUCGCGUGGCGAACGGGUGGGUAACACGUGGGUGAUCUGCCUUCCACUUCGGGAUAAGCCUGGGCAACUGGGCCUAAUUCCGGCCAGGAGCCAUUUUGAGUGUGAUGGUUGGAUAGUUUUUUCGGUGUAGGAUGUGCUCGCGGCCUAUCAGCUUGUUGGAGGGGUAAUGGCCUACCAAGGCGGCGACGGGUAGCCGGCCUGAGAGGGUGGACGGCCACAUUGGGACUGAGAUACGGCCCAGACUCCAACGGGAGGCAGCAGUGGGGAAUUUUGCACAAUGGGCGCAAGCCUGAUGCAGCGACGCCGCGUGGGGGAUGACGGCCUUCGGGUUGUAAACUCCUUUCGCUAGGGACGAAGCUUUUGUGACGGUACCUAGAUAAGAAGCACCGGCUAACUACGUG